rnacentral:rRNA from 1 species
UACGUAGGGGGCUAGCGUUGUCCGGAUUUAUUGGGCGUAAAGAGCGCGUAGGCGGCCGAGUAAGUCCGACGUGAAAUCUGGAGGCUCAACCUCCAGCGGUCGUUGGAAACUACUCGGCUAGAGUCCGGAAGAGGAGAGUGGAAUUCCUGGUGUAGCGGUGAAAUGCGCAGAUAUCAGGAAGAACACCGGUGGCGAAGGCGCUCUGCUAGGCCGCAACUGACACUGAGGGACGAAAGCUAGGGGAGCGAAUGGG